rnacentral:rRNA from 1 species
UGGGGAAUAUUGGACAAUGGGGGGAACCCUGAUCCAGCCAUGCCGCGUGUGUGACGAAGGCCUUAUGGUUGUAAAGCACUUUAAGCGAGGAGGAGGGUACUGGUAUUAAUACUACCAGGUACUGGACGUUACUCGCAGAAUCAGCACCGGCUAACUCUGUGCCAGCAGCCGCGGUAAUACAUAGGGUGCGAGCGUUAAUCGGAUUUACUGGGCGUAAAGCGUUCGUAGGCGGCUAAUUGAGUCGGAUGUGAAAUCCCCGAGCUUAACUUGGGAAUUGCAUUAGAUACUGGUUAGAUAGAGUGUGGGAGAGGAUGGUAGAAUUACAGGUGUAGCGGUGAAAUGCGUAGAGAUCUGGAGGAAUACCGAUGGCGAAGGCAGCCAUCUGGCCUAACACUGACGAUGAGGUACGAAAGCAUGGGGAGCAAACAGG